rnacentral:rRNA from 1 species
ACGCUCGUAGCAAUACGGGAGUGGCAGACGGGUGAGUAACACGUGGGAACGUACCCUUCGGUUCGGGAUAACUCAGGGAAACUUGAGCUAAUACCGGAUACGUCCGAGAGGAGAAAGAUUUAUUGCCGAAGGAUCGGCCCGCGUCUGAUUAGCUAGUUGGUGAGGUAAUGGCUCACCAAGGCGACGAUCAGUAGCUGGUCUGAGAGGAUGAUCAGCCACAUUGGGACUGAGACACGGCCCAAACUCCUACGGGAGGCAGCAGUGGGGAAUAUUGGACAAUGGGCGCAAGCCUGAUCCAGCCAUGCCGCGUGAGUGAUGAAGGCCCUAGGGUUGUAAAGCUCUUUUACCUGGGAAGAUAAUGACUGUACCAGGAGAAUAAGCCCCGGCUAACUUCGUGCCAGCAGCCGCG